UCCCCUAGUACUGCGAGUGAAGCGGGAAAAGCUCAAAUUUAAAAUCUGGUAGUCUAUGGCUGCCCGAGUUGUAAUCUAGAGAAGCGUUACCCGCGCUGGACCGUGUAUAAGUGUCCUGGAAUGGACUAUCAUAGAGGGUGAGAAUCCCGUCUUUGACACGGACUCCCAGGGCUUUGUGGUGCGCUCUCAAAGAGUCGAGUUGUUUGGGAAUGCAGCUCUAAAUGGGUGGUAAAUUCCAUCUAAAGCUAAAUAUUGGCGAGAGACCGAUAGCGAACAAGUACCGUGAGGGAAAGAUGAAAAGAACUUUGGAAAGAGAGUUAAACAGUACGUGAAAUUGUUGAAAGGGAAACGCUUGAAGUCAGUCGCGUUGGCUGGGAAUCAACCUUGCUUUUGCUGGGCGUACUUUCCAGUUGACGGGUCAGCAUCAGUUUUGGUCGGUGGAUAAAGGUCAGGGGAAUGUGGCACCUUCGGGUGUGUUAUAGCCCUUGGUUGUAUACACUGGCUGGGACUGAGGAACUCAGCACUUGUGCUUAGGAUGCUGGCAUAAUGGCUUUAAGCGACCCGUCUUGAAACACGGACCAAGGAGUCUAACAUGCCUGCGAGUGUUUGGGUGCAAAACCCGAGCGCGUAAUGAAAGUGAAAGUCGAGAUCCCUGUCGUG
rnacentral:rRNA from 1 species